UGUUACAAUGGCCGGUACAGCGGGAAGCCAGGCGGCGACGCCGAGCGGAACCCGAAAACCGGUCUCAGUUCGGAUCGGAGUCUGCAACCCGACUCCGUGAAGCUGGAUUCGCUAGUAAUCGCGCAUCAGCCAUGGCGCGGUGAAUACGUUCCCGGGCCUUGUACACACCGCCCGUCAAGCCAUGGGAGCCGGGGGUGCUUGAAGUGCGUCGCCGCGAGGCGCGCCCUAGAGCAAAACCGGUGACUGGGGCUAAGUCGUAACAAGGUACC
rnacentral:rRNA from 1 species